GACGGGCGGUGUGUGCAAGGAGCAGGGACGUAUUCACCGCGCGUUGGUGACACGCGGUUACUAGGGAUUCCACGUUCACGAGGGCGAGUUGCAGCCCUCGAUUCCUACUGAGGCGGGGUUUAAGGGAUUACCUCCCCCUUUCGGGGUCGGAACCCGCUGUCCCCGCCAUUGCAGCUCGCGUGUAGCCCGGGGGUUUCGGGGCAUACUGACCUGCCGUAGCCCCCACCUUCCUCCGGCUUAUCGCCGGCAGUCCCCCUAGAGUGCCCCAGCCCCGAAGGGCUGGGUAGCAACUAGGGGCGGGGGUCUCGCUCGUUCCCUGACUUAACAGGACACCUCACGGCACGAGCCGGCGACGGCCAUGCACCUCCUCUCAGCUCGUCUGGCAAGGUCGUCAGCCUGGCCUUCAUCCUGCUGUCGCCCCCGGUAAGGUUUCCGGC
rnacentral:rRNA from 1 species